rnacentral:sRNA from 1 species
CUCGGUUAACAAAAAA